UACGUAGGGAGCAAGCGUUGUCCGGAAUCAUUGGGCGUAAAGCGCGCGUAGGCGGCCCGGUCAGUCCGUCGUGAAAGUCAAAGGCUCAACCUUUGAAUGUCGAUGGAUACUGCCGGGCUAGAGUCCGGAAGAGGCGAGUGGAAUUCCCUGGUGUAGCGGUGGAAUGCGCAGAUAUCAGGAGGAACACCAAUAGCGAAGGCAGCUCGCUGGGACGGUACUGACGCUAAGGCGCGAAAGCGUGGGGAGCGAACAGG
rnacentral:rRNA from 1 species